GGCCGUGACGUCACGGAGCGCGGCGCCCGGCGGCCGCUGACGCGCGGCGGGGGCGGCGGCACCGGGCACGGACCGGGACCGGGACCGGACCCGGAGCCGGAGCCGGCCCGCACCGACCCGGCACGGGCAGGCGGAACCGCAGCGGGGGACGCAGCCUGAGGAAGGGCGGCGAUGACCCCGAGGUGCCCCAGCGUGGCUGUGUGUUUCUGUGCCCUCGCCGCUCCUGUCGCCUCCCGAUGAGCGGCCCCGUGCCAUCGCCGCGUGCCAUCGCACCCACCUGCACGAUCGGGCUGCGAUGGGCCGGGGCCAAGCGCCGUGCUGUUGCUGGACUGACCCGGCCUCACCUGGCCGCACCGCUGCCCUUCGCGGCCCCCACGGACCCCUCCGGGGGCCUGGAGACGGCGGUUCCGUGGGACGAGCGGGCGGGCGGUGGGCGCCGAGCCCCGACGCCUGCUGGCACCGCGGUGCGGGGACGUGCGGGAGCGGGGGGCACGCGUAGUGCGCGCGGGGCCUGUACCGGGGGCACACAAUAAAGCGCUGCUGAACGCA